GUGGACUUGGAAUUGCUAGAAAAGCAUUUUCCCAAGCUACUUAGGUGUCAACUGAAAAGAAAAUUUAAACACAAAUGUUCUGUGAUACUAUGAUUUAAAAUACAAAUCAAUAUCACGUUGUUGUUUCAAAUUGGUGGAGUUGCAAAUUGAUGUGUAUUGCUGCUGAAAUUGGUGCUAGACCAGCAAGGAAAAGUGCUCUUGGAGUUCACACUUGUAACUAAUUUAACAAGUCUUCCACUCCC
rnacentral:lncRNA from 1 species